AGUCAAGUAAUUAAGUGCAUGUGGUGGAUGCCUUGGCAGUCAGAGGCGAUGAAAGACGUGAUAGCCUGCGAAAAGCUCCGGGGAGGCGGCAAAUAUCCUUUGAUCCGGAGAUGUCUGAAUGGGGGAACCCACCUACUUUAAGGUAGGUAUUGCAACAUGAAUACAUAGUGUUGCAAGGCGAACGAGGGGAAGUGAAACAUCUCAGUACCCUUAGGAAAAGAAAUCAAUUGAGAUUCCCUCAGUAGCGGCGAGCGAACGGGGAUCAGCCCAUUAAGUUAUGUGUGUUUUAGUGGAACGCUCUGGGAAGUGCGAACGUAGAGGGUGAUAUUCCCGUACACGAAAGGGCACACAUAAUGAUGACGAGUAGGGCGAGGCACGUGAAACCUUGUCUGAAUAUGGGGGGACCAUCCUCCAAGGCUAAAUACUCCUGACUGACCGAUAGUGAACCAGUACCGUGAGGGAAAGGCGAAAAGAACCCCUGUGAGGGGAGUGAAAUAGAUCCUGAAACCGCAUGCAUACAAGCAGUGGGAGCACCUUCGUGGUGUGACUGCGUACCUUUUGUAUAAUGGGUCAGCGACUUAUAUUCAGUAGCGAGGUUAACCGUAUAGGGGAGCCGUAGAGAAAUCGAGUCUUAAUAGGGCGUUUAGUUGCUGGGUAUAGACCCGAAACCAGGCGAUCUAUCCAUGAGCAGGUUGAAGGUUGGGUAACACUAACUGGAGGACCGAACCCACUGUCGUUGAAAAGCCAGGGGAUGACUUGUGGAUAGGGGUGAAAGGCUAAUCAAGCCUGGUGAUAGCUGGUUCUCCCCGAAAGCUAUUUAGGUAGCGCCUCGGACGAAUACCAUAGGGGGUAGAGCACUGUUUCGGCUAGGGGGUCAUCCCGACUUACCAAACCGAUGCAAACUCCGAAUACCUAUGAGUACUAUCCGGGAGACAGACUGCGGGUGCUAACGUCCGUAGUCAAGAGGAAAACAAUCCAGACCGCCAGCUAAGGCCCCAAAAUCAUAGUUAAGUGGGAAACGAUGUGGGAAGGCAUAGACAGCUAGGAGGUUGGCUUAGAAGCAGCCACCCUUUAAAGAAAGCGUAAUAGCUCACUAGUCGAGUCGGCCUGCGCGGAAGAUGUAACGGGGCUAAAACUAUGUGCCGAAGCUGCGGAUGUAUACUUUGUAUACGUGGUAGGGGAGCGUUCUGUAAGCCGAUGAAGGUGUGUUGAGAAGCAUGCUGGAGGUAUCAGAAGUGCGAAUGCUGACGUGAGUAACGACAAAACGGGUGAAAAACCCGUUCGCCGAAAGACCAAGGGUUCCAGUCCAACGUUAAUCGGGGCUGGGUGAGUCGACCCCUAAGGCGAGGCCGAAAGGCGUAGUCGAUGGGAAAAUGGUUAAUAUUCCAUUACUUCUGUGUAAUGCGAUGAGAGGACGGAGAAGGCUAAAUCAGCCUGGCGUUGGUUGUCCAGGUGAAAGGAUGUAGGCAUGUAUCUUAGGCAAAUCCGGGGUACUCUAUGCUGAGAUCUGAUAGCAAGCUGUACUUGUACAGCGAAGUGGUUGAUGCCAUGCUUCCAGGAAAAGUCUCUAAGCUUCAGUUACACAGGAAUCGUACCCGAAACCGACACAGGUGGUCAGGUCGAGUAGACCAAGGCGCUUGAGAGAACUCUGCUGAAGGAACUAGGCAAAAUGGUACCGUAACUUCGGGAGAAGGUACGCUGUUGUUGGUGAUGGAACUCGCUUCCUGAGCUGACGACAGCCGCAGAAACCAGGCCGCUGCAACUGUUUAUUAAAAACAUAGCACUCUGCAAACACGAAAGUGGACGUAUAGGGUGUGAUGCCUGCCCGGUGCUGGAAGGUUAAUUGAUGGGGUUAGCGUAAGCGAAGCUCUUGAUCGAAGCCCCAGUAAACGGCGGCCGUAACUAUAACGGUCCUAAGGUAGCGAAAUUCCUUGUCGGGUAAGUUCCGACCUGCACGAAUGGCAUAAUGAUGGCGGCGCUGUCUCCAGCAGAGGCUCAGUGAAAUCGAAAUCGCUGUGAAGAUGCAGUGUACCCGCGGCUAGACGGAAAGACCCCGUGAACCUUUACUGCAGCUUGACACUGAACUUUGACCUUACUUGUGUAGGAUAGGUGGGAGGCUUUGAAGCUGGAACGCUAGUUCCAGUGGAGCCGUCCUUGAAAUACCACCCUGGUAAUGUUGAGGUUCUAACUCUG
rnacentral:rRNA from 1 species